UACGUAGGGUGCAAGCGUUGUCCGGAAUUACUGGGCGUAAAGCGCGUGUAGGCUGCUCUGUGUGUCGGAUGUGAAAGCCCCGGGCUCAACCUGGGAAGUGCACUCGAAACUACAGAGCUGGAGUCUCGGAGAGGAUCGCGGAAUUCUCGGUGUAGAGGUGAAAUUCGUAGAUAUCGAGAGGAACACCGGUGGCGAAGGCGGCGAUCUGGACGAGGACUGACGCUGAGACGCGAAAGCGUGGGGAGCAAACAGG
rnacentral:rRNA from 1 species